GACGAACGCUGGCGGCGUGCCUAAUACAUGCAAGUAGAACGCUGAAGGAGGAGCUUGCUUCUCUGGAUGAGUUGCGAACGGGUGAGUAACGCGUAGGUAACCUGCCUGGUAGCGGGGGAUAACUAUUGGAAACGAUAGCUAAUACCGCAUAAUGGUAGAUGUUGCAUGACAUUUGCUUAAAAGGUGCAAUUGCAUCACUACCAGAUGGACCUGCGUUGUAUUAGCUAGUUGGUGGGGUAACGGCUCACCAAGGCGACGAUACAUAGCCGACCUGAGAGGGUGAUCGGCCACACUGGGACUGAGACACGGCCCAGACUCCUACGGGAGGCAGCAGUAGGGAAUCUUCGGCAAUGGACGGAAGUCUGACCGAGCAACGCCGCGUGAGUGAAGAAGGUUUUCGGAUCGUAAAGCUCUGUUGUAAGAGAAGAACGAGUGUGAGAGUGGAAAGUUCACACUGUGACGGUAUCUUACCAGAAAGGGACGGCUAACUACGU
rnacentral:rRNA from 1 species